rnacentral:tRNA from 1 species
GGGUUUGUGGCUCAGUGGUAGAGUACUUGCCCAGCAAGUAUGAGGCACUGGGUUCAAUUCUCAGCACCA